UCAUCUGAAUGAUCUUUCUUGGACAUACAUUUUGAAGUGACCCUUCGAAUUAAAAAAGGUUCCUCAACUGCUUUUGAGGAAAAACAUCAAUGUGCUUGGCCACUCUGGUUUUUAAAUGGUAUUCUGAACUAAAGCAAGGAUUGUUCAAGUUAGUUGAAAAUAGACCGUCUCUGGUUAAAUUAGUUCUACACCAAGCCUUUAGGUGGCAGUAAAACUAAUUGGCACAAUGCGAAUUCCACACACAAGCCACAAAGAAGCCAUCUACCGCGGUCAACAACACUUCCUGAUUGAACAAAACCACGCGCUGUCUGUGUGGUUUCACUGUUACAAGUUUCUUGGCGAUAUGGGGGGAAAGUUCCUCACAUACCAACGGAAAAUGGGCUUCACAUACAUGCAGUCACACAGGGGUUCCAAGACCCACCUGCGUAAAAUCAAGUCAAAGGCUGCUGUCUCAUAAUAUGGCGAAGACGAGUCACCUGAAGGCCUAACUCGCCAUAGAAGACUGAAAGAAUUGUCCUGCAGGAUGCUGUGUCCUGCAAUCCUGUGUGCUGUGCUACAGACGUGUGUGGAGGUCAACCCAAAAUGGGCACAGUCUCACCACAGAAGAGUGAAAGAGGAUCCUGGCAGGGAGACGGUAGUGUCCUGCAGAAUGGUGAUGGGCCAAUCUUACAAGAGACCACAGAAAACUGAUAUAGUGAACUAUAGAAACAGAGUGCCUGCUGCAGUAUGGCGAGGACACCCUGAGCAGAGAGCUCCAAUAGACCCAGGUCCAGUGUCUUGGCAGGGUGAAAUGGCACUGAUAUGGUGUCCUGCAGGAUGCUGUGUCCUGCAAUCCUGUGUGCUGUGCUACAGACGCAUCUGGAAGCCAACCUGAAAUAAGCACAGUCUCUCCACAGAGGAGUGAAAGAGGCUCCCAGAAGUGAGACUGAGUGCCUGUUGCAGUAUGACGAGGACACAGUGACCAGAGACCUUCAGUAGACCCUUCUGGCAUGAUUGGCGGCUGAAGAACAUGAAAUCAACAGCAAUGUUUAUAAUGUUGUACAUACCUGUAUAGUCUGUAUUAAAAGGCAGUACCUGUA